GGCUGGUUAGCUCAACUGGUUAGAGUGUGGGGCUGAUAACCCCAAGGUCCAGGAUUCGAUCCCUGUAUUGGCCA